UCUAUUUUCUUGGACAAAGAUAUUUCAGACAACGCACAUAAAUGUAUCGAAUGUGACACCAGAAACUCUUCAGUGACUGUCGGUGCAAUCUUGGGAGUAACAAAUAUCUUGACAAUAUUGUAUGCAGCAUAUUUGACAGUUGUUAUAAGAAGGUCACGAUCAAGUUCCUUUGGCGUUGGAAGCUUAUGCCACGGAAGACGUGAACCUGAACCUACAGCAACUGUUGCCAAACAGGGUCUGGCAGUUGAUCAACAAACUUACUCUGUAAACGACGAUGAAGACACUUAUGAUUUAUCGUAAUAAGCUAUGGCUAAGGACGUGUUAUACGGAGGUCAUCAUCAAAUUUUUCACAUAGAUAUCCAAACCUUACAUCAUUGUUUACUUUUCCUUGAUGAGCGCAAUUUUUAAGAAAUAACUUACUAUAACUAGAGCAAAAUAGUUUUAAACGUCUGGAGUAUAACUUUCAGAACAUCUGACCACCAGUUCAAUUAUUUAUCUAAAUACAAAAGUAAAUCAUGUUUUUAUUACAAAGAUGGUAGCUAGUACACCAUGUUGUGGGGAAAUAGAUGCUUCAUGUGUGAAGAAGAUGUAACAACUACCGGAAGACUGCAUUCAGUGGUUAAUCAUAACACAAAUUUCAAGGAUUAUUUUUGCAAAGAUCGGAAGAUAUACUAUUGCUGAGAUCUAAAAUAAUCGAACGAAAGCAUCUUAAAGGAAGGCAUAUCUUUGCACUCUGGAUAAUGUGUUUGGUGUCAAAAGAACAAAACUAGCAUCGGGUUAAGAUCUCCCGUGAACUUCUGAAACUUAAUCCAAAAUAUUUUACUACUUUAUUUGCGAUAAAACUAACUGGCGGUGAAACGUGGAAGCACCAUUUUGAUCCAAAUAGAGUGAUAAAUAUGAACAAUCAAAUAAGCACAUGAGCCUUGUAAAUAAAGAAUGAAUGAAAGAUUGAUUGUUUAAACAUUAAUUCUAAAACGCAGCUUUAAAUUCCUGAUAGAUAUGGUUAAAUUUCUGUUAAAUUGUCUUAUAUCAACGAUAUCGUUAUUUAGAAAUUUAAGUUAUA